GGGGGUAUAGCUCAAUGGUAGAGCAUUUGACUGCAGUUCAACAGGUCUCUGGUUCAAAUCCAGAUGUUCCCU